rnacentral:rRNA from 1 species
UACGUAGGGGGCAAGCGUUGUCCGGAUUCAUUGGGCGUAAAGAGCGUGUAGGCGGCCAGGCAGGUCGGUUGUGAAAACUGGAGGCUCAACCUUCAGAGGUCGACCGAAACCAUCUGGCUAGAGUCCGGGAGAGGAGGGUGGAAUUCCUGGUGUAGCGGUGAAAUGCGCAGAUAUCAGGAAGAACACCCGUGGCGAAAGCGGCUCUCUGGAACGGUACUGACGCUGAGACGCGAAAGCGUGGGGAGCGAACAGG